rnacentral:rRNA from 1 species
CUUUCUCCGCCGGCGGCCGGCGCACGGGUGAGUAACACGUAUGCAACCUGCCCCUGUCAGGGGGACAACCCGCCGAAAGGCGGGCUAAACCCGCGUACAUGCCACCGGGGCAUCCCGGAGGCAGGAAAGGCUUCGGCCGGACAGGGAUGGGCAUGCGGCGCAUUAGGCAGUAGGCGGGGUAACGGCCCACCUAACCGACGAUGCGUAGGGGUUCUGAGAGGAAGGUCCCCCACACUGGUACUGAGACACGGACCAGACUCCUACGGGAGGCAGCAG